GAUGAACGCUAGCGAUAGGCUUAACACAUGCAAGUCGAGGGGCAGCACAUGAGUGGCAACACGAUGGUGGCGACCGGCGCACGGGUGAGUAACACGUAUGCAACCUGCCCAUAACUGGGGGAUAACCCGUCGAAAGGCGGACUAAUACCGCAUGACAACGAUGAUCCGCAUGGUGAUUCGUUUAAAGAUUUAUCGGUUAUGGAUGGGCAUGCGUUCCAUUAGGUAGUUGGCAGGGUAACGGCCUACCAAGCCUACGAUGGAUAGGGGUUCUGCGAGGAAGGUCCCCCACACUGGUACUGAGACACGGACCAGACUCCUACGGGAGGCAGCAGUGAGGAAUUUUGGACAAUGGGCGAAAGCCUGAUCCAGCAAUGCCGCGUGGGUGAAGAAGGCCUUCGGGUUGUAAAGCCCUUUCGGAUAGAAAGAAAACUCUUACUCUAACAUAGUGAGAGUAUGACGGUACUAUCAUAAGAAGCACCGGCUAACUACGUGCCAGCCGCCGCCGUAAAAC
rnacentral:rRNA from 1 species